GAGAGAGAGAAAGAGAGAGAGAGGGAUAUUUUGGGCGCAUGCACACCCCUCGGUAGCCUCUAGUUCUGCAAUACCCUGUGUAUUCUCGCCCCCGCCAGCCAGGCUUGUCCCUGGCCAAGGACUGGAGAAGGAGGGAGUCUCCAGUCCUGGCAGAGCAUCCUAUCACCAGGUUCAGUAUUUUGUAUCUUCGGUGCUGAAGCAGGGACCGGCAAGUAGGAGUAGGAUUCUUCAAAGGUGGACCCCAACCAGCCAGCCACCAGUGGGCAGCCCCGCGGUGUCCCCCGCCCGAACCCCUCCCAGGGACUCUGGCAGCUCCGGAGGAGGGGUGGGGGGGCGGGCACGGAGGGCCACGCAUUCUCCGGGGCUUAGAGCUGUCACGGAAUUUGACACCCGGAGAGGCAGCUGGUCUUUGGCCAGGACUCUUGAUUCUUCUCAAAUGGAAACAGUUUCUCCCAGUGAACCUGCUGGAAUUCUCAGUGGAGUCUCACUUCGCCUUUGCUUCCUGGUGCAUUUAACCAAGGCCGCAUUUCCCACUUUGGGGCAAGGAGGGCUCCAAAUGGAGCGGGGCUCCAGGUCGCAGAACAAGACUGUCUGACCUACAAAUGAGUGCCAGCAUUUAAAAGGAGAAUGAAAAGCAGAACGUUGCAGUGUCUAUGCAAAUCCAUUAGCACUGCUGGGAACUGGCUGUGUCCUGUAGUCGAUUCCUUCUGAGGGAACUAUAAAAGGAUGGACUCCAGCAAGAGGAAAAGUGAAUCAAAGGAAUGAAGUGGGAUGUAAACAAUAGUGGUAAGUA